CUCAUUCCCACAAAUUAAAAUUGUAGACUGAUUUACAGUUUCACAUUUCCUGACUUCUCUCUCAUGAAAAAGAUCUAUAGGUUUGUCUUUCUUCUCAUUUUAUUUAAACCCGUUAAUCUUCUAUGUUUUUCUGUUGAUGUCAUGUCUUUGCCUAUCUUUUUUCUCUUACAAACAAGGUCAUGCCUUCACCGAUAUGAGGCUCUUCAAGCCAAAACAUGGGCGAGAGAUCCGUGGCAAACAGAAAAAGAAACUAUGCAGUCAAGAAAGAUAGUCAAGAAUCAAAAGAUUUUGAAAUAGGGUUGGUUAAAGCAAAAGCUGAGUAUUUUUCUUUCAACUGAGAAAUGGUGAAUGUAUUAAGUGUUAGUUGAAGUUUCUUGAUGUUAGUUGGGGAUUUGAGACUGAAAUCUUUGUAAUAUACAGUGUAAAUGUCAUGUUUUUUACUCCUCUACUCAUGUUUUUGUGUAUAUAUUUUUUAUCCUCAUCUUUGUAUUCCCAUAAUCCCAAAUAUUGUAACUAAUCCUCUAUGAGAAAUAAAGAUUCUGCAUUUUUUAA
rnacentral:lncRNA from 1 species